rnacentral:rRNA from 1 species
GGGUCACCGUUUGUUAAGCGCAAAUAUGGAUGACUGUUUUUGCUGACUUCAUUGUUUGGCUUAUAAGAGUUAUCAAAUAUCACUUUGAUUAAAUUAGAGUGCUUAAAGCAAGUGUCUUACUUGAAUAUAAAUGCAUGGAAUGAUGGAAUAUGUUGUUGUUCUAUUUGUUGGUUUUUGAACGAUGAAAUGAUUGAAAGGAACUGUUGGGGGCAUUCGUAUUGUUGUGAGAGAGGUGAAAUUCUUAGACCACAGCAAGACGAACUACUGCGAAAGCAUUUGCCAAGAAUGUUUUCAUUGAUCAAGAACGAAAGUUAGAGGUUCGAAGGCGAUCAGAUACCGCUCUAGUUCUAACCAUAAACUAUGCCAACUAGCAAUUUGCUUAUGUAUGUUUUAUGACUAGGUGAGAGGCCACGGGAAACCAAAGUAGGGUUAUGGGGGAAGUAUGGUUGCAAAGCUGAAACUUAAAGGAAUUGACGGAAGGGCACCACCAGGAGUGGAGCCUGCGGCUUAAUUUGACUCAACACGGGAAAACUUACCUGGUCCUGACACUAGAAGGAUUGACAGAUUGAUAGCUCUUUCUUGAUUUGGUGGAUGGUGGUGCAUGGCCGUUCUUAGUUGGUGGAGUGAUUUGUCUGGUUAAUUCCGAUAACGAACGAGACUCUAGCCUAUUAAAUAACACACAGAAUCAUGCCUUCUGCGGUGUUUCUUAAUGGGAUCAAGUG